CAGUGUUACAGAGUUGUUUUUUCAAAGACUUUUGAAGAAAGAGAACAGAUUUCACUGGAUUACCAGAAAAGAAGAGUGAUAUUUUGGGUAAAAUGGGUAGAGGGAAAUGGUUUCAUAUUCUCCAUGGAGGGAAUAUUUCCUAUGUGUGCUGGGUGCAGAGGUAUCAGUGGAAAGGGCUGAAGCACUACUAAGCUGGCUCUCCCUGAGGCUGCUGUCCCUAUGGCAAGAAUGGUUUAACAGGGGGAAAUGCCUUGCUUGUAAUGUGAAGCUAAAGAGGACUGUGAAUAUUGAAAAGCACCAUGGCCAGAUAGAGUUAAAUAUUCAGGAUGAGACGUUAACUUAAACCACAUGUGAAAUGCAGCUGUUUCUGCUGAGGCUUUCAUCAGUCUGUACUGGGAAGAUUGGUGGGUUUUAAUAUGUGGUCUCGAGCAGAGCCAAUAGAAACGUGUGGAAAAUGUGUGUGAAAUCAGCAUGUAUUCAUGGGGGGUCUAUGGUGUUUCAUGUAGCAUUUUAUUUGUGUCAGUAUAAAUAACUGUGAUAAUACCU